rnacentral:rRNA from 1 species
GCGUGAGUGAUGAAGGCCUUCGGGUUGUAAAACUCUUUCGCGCACGACGAUAAUGACGGUAGUGCGAGAAGAAGCUCCGGCUAACUUCGUGCCAGCAGCCGCGGUAAUACGAAGGGGGCUAGCGUUGUUCGGAAUUACUGGGCGUAAAGCGUGCGCAGGCGGUUCUUCAAGUCAGUGGUGAAAGCCCGGAGCUCAACUCCGGAACUGCCAUUGAAACUGUAGGACUCGAGUACGAGAGAGGUGAGUGGAAUUCCCAGUGUAGAGGUGAAAUUCGU